GAUGAACGCUGGCGGCGUGCUUAACACAUGCAAGUCGAACGGUGAAACAGGAGCUUGCUCCUGCGGAUCAGUGGCGAACGGGUGAGUAACACGUGAGUAACCUGCCCCAUUCUUCGGAAUAACCAGUGGAAACGCUGGCUAAUGCCGAAUAUGACCAUCGAAGGCAUCUUCUGGUGGUGGAAAGCUCCGGCGGAGUGGGAUGGACUCGCGGCCUAUCAGCUUGUUGGUGAGGUAACGGCUCACCAAGGCGACGACGGGUAGCCGGCCUGAGAGGGUGACCGGCCACACUGGGACUGAGACACGGCCCAGACUCCUACGGGAGGCAGCAGUGGGGAAUAUUGGACAAUGGGCGAAAGCCUGAUCCAGCAACGCCGCGUGAGGGAUGACGGCCUUCGGGUUGUAAACCUCUUUCAGCAGGGACGAAGCGAAAGUGACGGUACCUGCAGAAGAAGGACCGGCCAACUACGUGCCAGCAGCCGCGGUAACAC
rnacentral:rRNA from 1 species